CGAUUUGGUAAAUUUCUUGUAAAAACAUUAAGCUUAACUUAGUGAAUGGCAAGAAAGACUGCCAGGUUAGGGACCGGGAGGAGGCAGAAGUAUUCCUUGGGAAGCGGUAAAAUGUUGUAAUCCUUGGAAGACUACCUGUGGCGAAGGCGUCUGCCUAGAACGGAUCCGACGGUGAGGGACGAAAGCUAGGGGAGCAAACCGGAUUAGAUACCCGAGUAGUCCUAGCAGUAAACUCUGCGAACUAUGUGUUACAUAUCCUACGUGGAUAUGUAUUGCCGAAGCGAAGGUGUUAAGUUCGCCGCCUGGGAA
rnacentral:rRNA from 1 species